UGGGGAAUCUUGCGCAAUGGGCGAAAGCCUGACGCAGCGACGCCGCGUGAGUGAUGAAGGCCUUCGGGUUGUAAAGCUCUGUGGGGAGAGACGAAUAAGUGCAAGCUAAUACCUUGCAUGAUGACGGUAUCUCCUUAGCAAGCACCGGCUAACUCUGUGCCAGCAGCCGCGGUAAGACAGAGGGUGCAAACGUUGUUCGGAAUUACUGGGCGUAAAGCGAGUGUAGGCGGUUUCCUAAUUCAGGUGUGAAAGCCCCGGGCUCAACCCGGGAAGUGCACUGGAAACUGGGAGGCUAGAGUACUGGAGAGGUUGGUGGAAUUCUCGGUGUAGAGGUGAAAUUCGUAGAUAUCGAGAGGAACACCGGUGGCGAAGGCGGCCAACUGGACAGAUACUGACGCUGAGACUCGAAAGCGUGGGGAGCAAACA
rnacentral:rRNA from 1 species